UACAGAGGGUGCAAGCGUUAAUCGGAAUAACUGGGCGUAAAGGGCGCGUAGGUGGAUAUGUAAGUUAGAUGUGAAAGGCCUGGGCUUAACCUAGGUUGGUCAUUUAAUACUGCAUAUCUAGAGUGAAGUAGAGGGCAGUAGAAUUCCCGGAGUAGCGGUGAAAUGCGUAGAUAUCGGGAGGAAUACCAGUGGCGAAGGCGACUGUCUGGACUUCAACUGACACUGAGGCGCGAAAGCGUGGGGAGCAAACAGG
rnacentral:rRNA from 1 species